AUUUCUUAAGCGUUUGAUCUCAUUUGCAGUUUCUGUUGACCGUGAGGAGAGGAGAAGAAAGAAAAAAAAAGACAAAAAAGGGAUGUAGAGAGGAAAAAAAAAAAAGAGAGAAGUGGCUUUGGCCCUCAUGCUGAGGAGAGGUGUUCUGGUGGGUGCUUGGCAGAGUCCCCAGGAGAUCACACACCUCUUGUGAUGCAGGACAGAAGCUCCCAGACCCUGGACACCCUCAGGACCUGCCACAUCCACCAGGGAAUUUCACACCAUCGUGUCAGUGAAUGCACUUCAUCAUCUGUCCAAGAAGAGGAGAGCAAAGCUGAGCAAGGUCAGGGAAUCAAACCCUGUAAGAAAAGUCCUUGCAACUCUGCAGAGACACGGGUGAAACUGGACCAAUAAGCGAGUCAGUUGGUCUGCACGCUCUCAUUUAAGCAGACCCAGGAAGGGGUGGCUUCUCCAGGGUAGACACAGAUACACGCAUGUCUGAAGACCAACAGAAGAUCAGCUGGUGGGAUCAUAAAGACAACUUUCCUACAAAUGUUACAGACACAAUACCAGGAACACAGGAAGAUUGAUAUUUGGCAAGAUGAUGGACUUCAAAAAUAACUUUGGAUUCUCUGACCUGCUUCACUAAUGCACGCUGCAGUAAAACCAGGGUGGGUGAGAAGUGUGUCAGAUGAAUGUCUUGGAGACGUUUGAAGUCCAGUUGUUAGAUGUGCUUCCAAAAUUCACUGGAGGAGCCCUCCCCACGUCCAAACAGGGAUCCAAAGAGAGGAGCGACAGGCAAACUUCAAAUAUGACACAUAAAGUUUUCAUAGCUACAUUAGAGUGCAGAAGUCUUCCUGACUCAGAUUCCCACUCCUGCUACCUCUGGUUCUUCUGCUCAGAGCUCCCAGCCCCAGCAUCAGUGACAAGCUUCAAUCCACUGUGGCUACCUGGCUCAUGGCUCAGUCUGGACCACCAAACUCACGUACAAAGGAGUUCUUACAAGAUGGAAAAGUGUGAGAGGGAGACUGAGCAAACAUCUAUGGGAAAGAAGGAUGUCAGCCAGUAGUGGGCACCACCUGCCCGUUAGUGGGGAUGGUCCUCAGCAUGGGAGCAGGCUGCAGUCAUAAAGGGAAAUGGGUUUAUUCAGUGUUCAGUCUGAAAGGCUUCUGUUGGAAUAAUUUCUGAUGAAAUAUUGUUUUUAUUCCUAGGUUUAAAAGAUGACUUAAGGCCUUAAGGCCUUUUAUUUUUGAACUUCCAUUGGCAUUGUCUUUCAUAUCUGUGAGCUGUCUUCUAUUCCCUUCUUAGCAUGCACCAUAUACAAAUUGGGAUUUUUAAUAUGAGAGGAAAAGCAGAAAUGUUUGAAGAACUGCUGUUUUCCAUGUCUCCCGAUAAACUGCUUUCUGAAGAGGUUACCACCAGCUUUCCAUGAGUUUCUAAUUCUAUUCUCUUUAAUUCAAGAGAGUCCUAUGGUCUUCAGUUAACUAGGCUCUAUUGGGCACUAAUUUUUAACUCGUUUGCCAAAUAUCUCAGUGGCAUUCACUACUUGAGGUGUUUCUUGGGUUACCAUGAAAGGCUUAGAUACCUGGUUUUAUAUCGCAAAAUUCAACAGCUUUUGGAAUAUUCUGAUGUACUUACAAUUACAUAGAGAAAUAAUUGAGUAUGAACUGUUGCUUUUUGUCUGUGACUACAGGAGAAUGAAGCCAAAGAAGCAGGUCCUGGAAUCUUGUAUUAUGUACUCCACUGAGUACAGCUGAAUCCCUGAAAACUUCUAUAUGUCAGUGAAAUUAAUUAUGUGGGAUCUGUAACCAUAACUGCUAAGAGAUCCAAGAACAACUGUAGUAAGAGAAAAAAUAACCAAUUUAUGGAGUCACUUCAUAAAAAUAGGAGUAAUUUUAAUGCAAUCCAGAAAGAUACACCAGCCUACAGCAGCUGGUGAGACAUCAGCUCCACCUACAGAAAAGGCUGCUCUAUAGCUCUUACAUAAGCAUGUUGAACAGAUCCCAAACUUUGGCACCUGAAGUAGUCCCUCUAGUUCAGAAAGAUUACCUGCCUAUAAGGAGGUGCAAACAAGCAGCAGAUUAAAGAGGCCUGGAAGGAAUUACUGAGUUCUAUGCAACUUCUUAUAGGUGAAUUUUUAACAACAGGGACAACUAACUAUUAGAAGGUACAUUAUUAUGUAAAGUACAAAAACAAAAUUGGCAUGUCUUCUUCCUGAAGCAAUCAGGAUUAUUCAUAUUUUUAUUGCUAAUUGAAAAUAAGAAGAAAUAAAACACAUAGUCUGCCCAGCAGCAUCAUGAGCCUCAAAUAUCUCUCUAGUGGUGAGUAUGAUCUGUGGUGCCAGCUAUGCUGGACAGGGUAAGAAGUUUCCCAUAAAAUGAUUACCAAUGUCAAUUAAAAAUUUUGCACUUGCCUCUUAGUUUAUCUGAAACUGAAGAGGGCUGCUCGCUCGUGCAGUCAAAACAUGUCAUAUGCAUAUUCUCACACAGAAAGCAGUAGAGGCUCUAAAGCCUAUCUUAGAGUGUGUUUGAUUUUCUGGCUGCCUUAUUUGUUUACAACAAUGCUCUUAAAAUUGUCUCUACCAUCUGUGUGGUUUCUAGUUGUUUGAAUGAGAAUGAGAUAUUAAAAUGCCAUCCAGAUGUCUAGAUGCAUAUCAGCAUUAACAUAUUAUGCAAAUUGUCACAAGGAUGGUUUUUUUUCUUCUUAAGCAAAACAAUAUUUUUAGAUGGAAUGGAGAGAAAUAAAUCUGUGAAGGAUG